UUUCCGGCAACUCACUCAUCAUUGUCUGCCUCAUCAUCGGCUGGUGUAAGUAGAUCUGUCUCUUAAACUUUUACACUGAUUAAGGCAAUAUAUCUCCAUGCGCCCCGUUUCCUGGGUUCUGUAUAGAAUUUAAUCCCAUGAGGAAAAAAUCCCAAUACAAAAUUUCAAUGAAACUGAAGUGCACAACAACUAAGCAUUGUCUGUUUUAUGUGGCAAUAUUCAUAGAAUUUAAUUUUUAAAACUGAAAAGGGAUGUAAUGUAAUUUAUUUGUUAUUCAUUUUUCCAAAAACGAAGUAAUUACUCUGAUUAAUUGGACAUCGUACUUGAUCAGUUACACAGGGUCUCAUAGUUUUAUGGAUUUAUUUGAAAGGAAGAGACCCCCCCCCCCCCCCCCCCCCCCCCCCCCCCCCCGCCACCGGGAUAAUCCCUGCCAAAAAUAUCCCAAAGUUUAUCAUUUUAUUCCAUUAAUUUCAUGGUGAACUUGUUUUUAUUACUAUUACAACCCUAUUCAUGAAUUCCACUUGGUGAACACAGAUUCGCGCCUUUCUGUCUUUACCAAAUGCCGCCUUUUGAAGUUUUCUUACAGAUUUAGCUUCUAGUCAUUUUUUUGGUCGAUUUGAUUUCCUAUGAUGGUUAGAUUACGUUUUAGUAUAAGACGAAAAUAAACAGUAACAUCCUAAAUUUGUAAUUAGUUUUUCCUCUAUUGACGUAAAAUAAAUCCAUUUUAAUAGAAUUUGCUAUGGUUAGAUUGCAAUUUAACACCAAUUGCCUCUGGGUUUUUCUUGAUGCACAAAGCAUUGUGGACUGACCCAAGACCCCUUCCGGUGCGGUAAGGUCGAAGGUUAAAUUUGUUUAAUCACAUAUAUACGAGAGUGCUUGCAUUAACCUUAAACAGUCGUGCUUAGCAUUGGUGUACUUAUGGUGUUAUCCUAAACCAUAUCCUUAUCUUCUUAAUAUGUUAUCCAAAAUAACUCACUAAGAACCAGAAUAUUUUUGUUAAUGAAGAAUUAAUGAUUCUUCAGCUUUUCUACGUAUGAACAGGUAUCAGUUAACUAUAAUUGCCCAGAAAUUAGACAAAAUCAAUUAUAUUAGUACUUUAUCUGGAAAUAGUAUAAUAUAUUAAUACCUUAUUUAUAUCCAGCAAUCUAUUGCCAGACCAUUAAGUACUUGAUUAAGAAAUAAUUUCUAAGAUAGCAUGCACUUUUAGAGCAAUAAACUCUAAAAUUAUUGCCGACAACGAUUUAUGUAAUACUGUAUAUUUUGUCAUGAUUGAGCAUAAACAUUGUACUAUAAUUACUAAUUGGAUUUUUUCUUCAGGUGUACCAUUGGUCCUAACAGGGAUAUACGCAGGAUUAAGGGCCACGUUGACAGACAACACAAAAUUGUAAGUGGUUUAAUCAAUUAACUUGAGUUCCCGCCCGUAAAAAUACAUAAUUUUUGCAUCCACAAUUUUUUUAACACUACACUGAAAAAGCAGAAGCUAAACUUAAAACAAAAUCGGAUUUUAACAGGUUGGUCAAUCACUAUUUUUGAGCGCAAUUUACAUGAAUAUGAACAACAGACCAAAUGACCAUUGCGCCGAUCAGGAUAAGCCUCCGUCAAUAAGAAAAUAGUUUAAUCUGUUUUUAUUCAAUAUCUUAUACAUGUAUCUGAAGUCAAUAUUGGUUACUCUUGGUAACAACAUCUUAGUCCAGGAAAGUUUGACGGUUUCCAUUUCAUUUUUAAGAAUUCUUACUAACUUCUUCCUGUUUCAUUAUUAUUUUAUGUUGACCUUCAAUGUAAAAUAACCAUAAGGAUUGCUUUUGCAAGUCCGGUACCGUUUAACAAACAACUACUAAACUAGUGCUAUAUUGCUUUAUAUUAAAAAGAAAGGUUAAAAAACCCAUGAUUUAAAGUAUACAUUGAAAUAUUGAAAUUAUAUCAA
rnacentral:misc_RNA from 1 species